GAUUUAUUUCUGGAGAUCCCUCCCUGGAGCUUUCUCCUGCAAACCUGGAAUCUUCUGAUACAGGAUGUUAAUACCUGGAGUGUUACUCUCGGGUCACAUUCAUCUGCACUGACGAUCUGUAUUGGACAAUACGUACGAGUGAUCUGGUGAAUUGAUUUCAGACAAUCAUAGCAUAAUUAAUUCUGGAAGGUAUCUUGGGAGGUUGCUAGUCCAGUCCUGAGGUCAGCUCAAGGCUUCAUCCAUGUGGACAAGCUUCCAAGGAUGGAGACUGCACAGCCUCCGUGGACAGCCUGUUCAAACUGCCCUAAAAGAAAAAGUCUUUCAGUUUACAUUUAUGAGGUGCAGAGCUGUGAUAAUGACAGAAUCAGGCAUAAUGCCUCAAGCAUUGUUCCAGGGAAUAAUGGAGGGAUUUCAUGACGACAAUUUCAUUUUAGUUUUUGGUGUUAAAAGAAGUCACUACAAGGUAUUCACCUGUGAGGAUCAAAAAAGUAAAAGAAAGUGGCUGUGGAAACCAAACAACACUUCUGAUGUCUGACUUUGGCAAAAUGACCGUAAUGCUGCAGAUUUAAGUACCGAAGGAAAAGAAUUAGUAAGAAUCACAGCGGCCAGUGAACAGUCAGCAUAAAUCAGAACUUCUGGCAGAGUUCCCUGGUGUCCUACAACCAUAGUCAACACUGGUGCAGAAAUACUAAAAUAAGAAGCAGGACUGCAGGAGGUUGAAUUGACUGCUUUAUUAUUCACCAAAGCCUACAUCUUUGAGAUACUGUAAUUGACUAUUGCAGAAUUGAUUGCAGUCUUGUAAGCAGAAUUGUGACUUCAAGUGAAGCAUGAGAGAAGAAAUAGAUGAACACUUGAGCAGAAAAGGUCCCUCUGGAUGCUUCCCUUCCCUGCAAUGCAUCGACUGCACCGCUCAGCUUGGGGCCAUCUGCAAACUUGCUGAGGCUGCACUCGAUGCCAUCAUCUGUCAUUGAUGAAGAUGCUGAAGAGCACCGGUCCCAAGACCGACCCCUGAGGGACACCGCUUGUGGCCGGCCUGCACAGGUAGGUUUCUAACUUUCAAGGUUCGAAGAAGUGAAAUAUUUACAAAAGUACUAUAAUUCUGCUCAGUUUGUGCUGUAGAGCUGUACUACUUGUCCUCCUGCUCAGGUUUUUACAAGUAUUGCAGAUGAACUGAAGAAUCCAACUGCCAGUUUCACUGCGCACUGUUGCUUCCCAACACCCGUUCUAGCAGGCAGCCUUCAGCUCAGAUUGGAGUGUCCAGUGUUGUCAGAGGCAGCUUUUGUUAUCCUCUCAGCAGAAGCGAUCAGAAAAGCAUAGCAGGAAGAAGAUGAGCUGAAUAUGCUUCUAACAGGCUAAUAAGGGGCAGCCUGAACCCAUUUAUACCAUAUUAAUUGAACAACUUCAGAAGAGUUUAAGGUUCAACCUACCAGACUGCUUUUUGUUACAAACUUACAAAGAUGCAUCAGUGAAGUUGCUUGCCUCUCUGGCUCUGGAUCUCAGCAGCGGUUCCUGGAAGCUUUGCUGCACUGGUGCACGUCUCAUUUGCAUCUGUCUUCUAUGUAAGGGAAAAUAUAAUCAUGCGUCCUUUUCUGGGCUACAUCGUGCUCCACUGCAAAUCCUGAUGGCCCACGAAGGUUUGAGGAAACAUGGCACAUCCCAGGCUGUCUCCCCAUCUGAGACUUGGGAAACCAAGGAUGUCCUGCAGCAGACAACUUCUUUGACAUCAAGGCAUAGUAAUGACUUUUCUUAGGUAGGCUGCCUGUCGUUUCUUUUUCUUGUCUGGGUGCAAAACCAAUGUGUUGUAUUCAGAAGAAGCUUACCUACCAAAACAUAAAGGAGAAGAUGGGUGUUUGCACAUUCAUUUUAUAGGUAUGGAAAAGGGGGACUAAGCCUUCUAAAAUCUUCCCCACAGCUUUGAGCUACAAAAUUAUCUUCUCACUGGA